rfam:Johnsonella ignava ATCC 51276 genomic scaffold supercont1.5, whole genome shotgun sequence.
AAAUAAAGGUAUUGACUGCCUAAGACAGCAGGUGCCUCACGGGGCAUAAGUGUAAAGACCGCCUGCCGAGGAAGUAUAAUCGCUGCAAUGAUAUUAUGCUCCUUAUGCUUUAAAGGCAGAGGAGCUUUUUGUAUAAGCUU